rnacentral:rRNA from 1 species
CCUACGGGAGGCAGCAGUGGGGAAUCUUGCGCAAUGGGCGAAAGCCUGACGCAGCAACGCCGCGUGCGGGAUGAAGGCCUUCGGGCUGUAAACCGCUUUCAGCAGGAACGAAAAUGACGGUACCUGCAGAAGAAGGAGCGGCCAACUACGUGCCAGCAGCCGCGGUGACACGUAGGCUCCAAGCGUUGUCCGGAUUUAUUGGGCGUAAAGAGCUCGUAGGCGGUCUAAUAAGUCGGGUGUGAAAACUCUGGGCUCAACCCGGAGACGCCAUCCGAUACUGUUAUGACUUGAGUUCAGGAGGGGAGCGGGGAAUUCCUAGUGUAGCGGUGAAAUGCGCAGAUAUUAGGAGGAACACCGGUGGCGAAGGCGCCGCUCUGGACUGAAACUGACGCUGAGGAGCGAAAGCAUGGGUAGCAAACAGGAUUAGAUACCCUGGUAGUCCAUGCCGUAAACGGUGGGCACUAGGUGUGGGUUUCAACUACGAAAUCCGCGCCGUCGCUAACGCAUUAAGUGCCCCGCCGUCGGGUAGGUACGGUCGCGAGACGUAAACCUACAACGGAAGUUAGACGGCGUGAGACGUGCCGACGGACGACCGACGAGGGAGGUAGG